AGCGAACGCUGGCGGCAGGCCUAACACAUGCAAGUCGAACGGGUUCCUUCGGGGACCAGUGGCAGACGGGUGAGUAACACGUGGGAACGUACCCUUCAGUUCGGAACAACCCAGGGAAACUUGGGCUAAUACCGGAUACGCCCUUCGGGGGAAAGAUUUAUCGCUGAAGGAUCGGCCCGCGUCUGAUUAGCUAGUUGGUGAGGUAACGGCUCACCAAGGCGACGAUCAGUAGCUGGUCUGAGAGGAUGAUCAGCCACACUGGGACUGAGACACGGCCCAGACUCCUACGGGAGGCAGCAGUGGGGAAUAUUGGACAAUGGGCGAAAGCCUGAUCCAGCCAUGCCGCGUGAGUGAUGAAGGCCCUAGGGUUGUAAAGCUCUUUCGGCGGGGACGAUAAUGACGGUACCCGCAGAAGAAGCCCCGGCUAACUUCGUGCCAGCCGCCGCGGUAACAC
rnacentral:rRNA from 1 species